AUUGAACGCUGGCGGCAGGCCUAACACAUGCAAGUCGAGCGGAUGAAGGGAGCUUGCGCCUGGAUUCAGCGUCGGACGGGGGAGUAAUGCCUAUGAAUCUGCCUGGUAGUGGGGGAUAACGUCCGGAAACGGGCGCUAAUACCGCAGACGUCCUGAGGGAGAAAGUGGGGGAUCUUCGGACCGCACGCUAUCAGAUGAGCCUAGGUCGGAUUAGCUAGUUGGUGGGGUAAAGGCCUACCAAGGCGACGAUCCGUAAGUGGUCUGAGAGGAUGAUCAGUCACACUGGAACUGAGACACGGUCCAGACUCCUACGGGAGGCAGCAGUGGGGAAUAUUGGACAAUGGGCGAAAGCAUGAUACAGCCAUGCCGCGUGUGUGAAGAAGGUCUUCGGAUUGUAAAGCACUUUAAGUUGGGAGGAAGGGCAGUAAGUUAAUACCUUGCUGUUUUGACGUUACCAACAGAAUAAGCACCGGCUAACUUCGUG
rnacentral:rRNA from 1 species